GGCCCAUGUCCCUUCCUGUGACAGAUGAUGGGCCCUGGUGUGGGAAGGAACAAUGGUCACCACUGAGGUAAUAAAACCUCACGUGUCAGUCUGACAUCUCCAGGCCAUUCCUGACAGGAGGGUAACAGUCAAGGGUUUCCUCUUCACCCAGUAUCUUUGAGCUGGGAGAAGACAACCUGGCCUAUAAGUCACAGAUAAUCCUUGUGAUGUCAUGGUCAUCUCCUCCUUGACCACCUGUCCUGCCCCUGAUGAAGCUAAAGGAAAUGCCAAGAGGGGGAUGAACAUCUGAACCCCUGCCCUCCCACCAUGGAGUCUAAUCAAGAAGUGAAAAAGGAAACACUAGAAGAAGAGAAGGAAAAGCAGCUGCAGAAGAAGCAAACCCAAGACAAGAAAACUAAAGCUGCAAAGGCAGAUGGAGCCAUACUUCGGGGAAAAAAGACGGUGAAGUUGAAACUCCCACUUCAGCCAAAAGUAGGUGGGAUAGGCCUCAGUGUUAGGGGGUGACCCGUGACCAUAAUUCAUAUCACUCAGGUAUGUGGCCCAUACCAUGAGAUAGUCCUGGAAUUGAUGCUCCAAGUACGGUACAUUUGAGAGGUCUAGGUCUGAGUAAAGCCAUUACCCCGAAGAGCCAUCAGACACCAAGACUGUCCU